AACGAACGCUGGCGGCAUGCCUAACACAUGCAAGUCGAACGAGACCUUCGGGUCUAGUGGCGCACGGGUGCGUAACGCGUGGGAACCUGCCCUUAGGUUCGGAAUAACUCCCCGAAAGGGGUGCUAAUACCGGAUAAUGUCUUCGGACCAAAGAUUUAUCGCCUUUGGAUGGGCCCGCGUUGGAUUAGCUAGUUGGUAGGGUAAAAGCCUACCAAGGCGACGAUCCAUAGCUGGUCUGAGAGGAUGAUCAGCCACACUGGGACUGAGACACGGCCCAGACUCCUGCGGGAGGCAGCAGUGGGGAAUAUUGGACACUGGGCGAAAGCCUGAUCCAGCAAUGCCGCGUGAGUGAUGAAGGCCUUAGGGUUGUAAAGCUCUUUUACCCGGGAUGAUAAUGACAGUACCGGGAGAAUAAGCUCCGGCUAACUCCGU
rnacentral:rRNA from 1 species